rnacentral:rRNA from 1 species
AGAGUUUGAUUAUGGCUCAGGAUGAACGCUGGCGGUAUGCUUAACACAUGCAAGUCGAACGGAUGUCUUCGGACAUUAGUGGCGGACGGGUGAGUAACGCGUGAGAAUCUAGCUUCAGGUUGGGGACAACAGUUGGAAACGACUGCUAAUACCGAAUGUGCCGAAAGGUGAAAGAUUUAUUGCCUGAAGAAGAGCUCGCGUCUGAUUAGCUAGUUGGUGGGGUAAGAGCUUACCAAGGCGACGAUCGGUAGCUGGUCUGAGAGGACGAUCAGCCACACUGGGACUGAGACACGGCCCAGACUCCUACGGGAGGCAGCAGUGGGGAAUUUUCCGCAAUGGGCGAAAGCCUGACGGAGCAAUACCGCGUGAGGGAAGAAGGCUCUUGGGUUGUAAACCUCUUUUCUGAGGGAAGAAAAAAAUGACGGUACCUCAGGAAUCAGCAUCGGCUAACUCCGUGCCAGCAGCCGCGGUAAUACGGAGGAUGCAAGCGUUAUCCGGAAUGAUUGGGCGUAAAGCGUCCGCAGGUGGCAAUUCAAGUUUGCGGUUAAAGGCUCUGGCUCAACCAGAGACAGGCCGUGAAAACUGAAUAGCUAGAGUAUGGUAGGGGCAGAGGGAAUUCCCAGUGUAGCGGUGAAAUGCGUAGAGAUUGGGAAGAACACCGGUGGCGAAAGCGCUCUGCUAGGCCAAAACUGACACUGAGGGACGAAAGCUAGGGGAGCGAAUGGGAUUAGAUACCCCAGUAGUCCUAGCCGUNNNCGAUGGAUACUNNNUGUAGCUUGUAUCGACCCAAGCUGUGCCGUAGCUAACGCGUUAAGUAUCC